GAUGAACGCUGGCGGCGUGCCUAAUACAUGCAAGUCGAGCGAACAGAUGAGGAGCUUGCUCCUCUGACGUUAGCGGCGGACGGGUGAGUAACACGUGGAUAACCUACCUAUAAGACUGGGAUAACUUCGGGAAACCGGAGCUAAUACCGGAUAAUAUAUUGAACCGCAUGGUUCAAUAGUGAAAGACGGUUUUGCUGUCACUUAUAGAUGGAUCCGCGCCGCAUUAGCUAGUUGGUAAGGUAACGGCUUACCAAGGCAACGAUGCGUAGCCGACCUGAGAGGGUGAUCGGCCACACUGGAACUGAGACACGGUCCAGACUCCUACGGGAGGCAGCAGUAGGGAAUCUUCCGCAAUGGGCGAAAGCCUUACGGAGCAACGCCGCGUGAGUGAUGAAGGUCUUCGGAUCGUAAAACUCUGUUAUUAGGGAAGAACAAAUGUGUAAGUAACUAUGCACGCCUUGACGGUACCUAAUCAGAAAGCCACGGCUAACUACGUG
rnacentral:rRNA from 1 species